rnacentral:lncRNA from 1 species
UUUUCUAAGUGUUCUUCUUCUUUUUCUUUUUUCCCUCACUUUAUCUCAUGUGUUGAUAACACAAAGUGAACCAUAAAGUGAGCAUGUGAAUCAAACUCAAAUCUAAAAUUCUUACACGUCAGUUCCUUGUAAUUAGAAAUACGUCAAUAAAGAAUUGUGGAGCUUUUGAAAGUUUGAUGGUUAUAAAGGAGGAGUUCAAAAUUACAUCCUAGACGAUUGUUGAAUAUAAUUCUCAUAUCUUCCCUAAUGAAAUGUUGAUUAAGUGAAUAUAUGUAUUGUUUGACUAAAAAGAAUUUUUUUUCCUUUUUAUACGAUGU